rnacentral:rRNA from 1 species
GUCUAUGGCUGUGCCACACUGAACACACCCGAUCCCGUCUGAUCUCAGAAGCUAAGCAGGGUCGGGUCUGGUUAGUACUUGGAUGGGAGACCACCUAGGAAGACCGGGUGCUGUAGGCA